GCUCACUUGGGCAAGGCAUAUAUUAAAAGUGGAACAAUAUAGAGAAGAUUAGCAUGGCCCCUGCACAAGGAUGACAUGCAAAUUUGUGAAGUGUUCCAUAUUUUU